AACUUUGACCCCCCCCCCACCAAAGACCAGAAGAUUUGAAGAGGAAGCUUCAUGGAUGCAGAGGAGGACCAAAGAGCAGAGAGAAGAAGGAGGAAAUUCAAACCAUCUCUUCAAUCCGUCUCAAUGAAAUAAGAUCAUAUCUACAACUCCACCGUCGCUCCGCCCGGGUUUCUGACCAUACGAUCAGACAGAGAUUUAAACAGAAGCAGCAAAAGCAGAUGAGACGGAUUAGAAAUGCUUGUCAACAACUGAGAGUGUCAUCCAAGACAUGUUGCUAGAGUGACCACAUCGUCGUGCCUUGGUUCUGGACUUUCGUUAAGGUUGGUUAAGAUUACUAAUGGAAGAAACUGGAAUCUUUCGGAAUACGUUGCACAAGAGGAAAGAGUCCCGUUAUAAUACCAAAUGUUUCAAACAAGAGGGAGAAACAUUGGGUAGGUGGGCUGAAGAAAGAGGAGUAGGAGGAGCUCCACACAGACAACUAAUGGAUGAGAUAGAGAGCGUCAGGGCUUUGUCAGGAUCGAGGCACCGGGCUUUUCUUCUCCACCACUCACAGUCGUGACAUUCUGGCGCCCUCGACGCCCUUCACCGGAGCUUCUAAUUUAGCCGUAUUCAUUCCCACCAAGUUUGUUCUCGAUCUGCAUAAAUAGCAAAUCUCAUCCA